AGUUAUAUUUCAUAGAAAUCUGGAAACACUAGACAGUUACUUUAAGUUAUAUUUUACUCCAAUGAGUCACGAGUCCCCUUUGGCACAUUGGAGUUAGUUGUGUGACCUUCUGACGGUCGAUGAAGGGAAGUUGGUGUUCUUUCUUAUGACAAAAGAGAUUAAAAUCUUUGAAUCGGUUCCUGUGUUUGUUUAGCCCUCCAUGCACUUUCCAUUCGGCACCCUCUCCUGAAGACACGCACUCUGUCUGACGGGAGCAAGAAGGCCAAAGGGAAAGCCAUGAGAUGCGCGGAGUUUAUCCAGCCGGUAAAGGAGAGGCCAUGGACAGACUCUGCAGUGGCCCGGAGAAUGGUGAUCACAGCCCUGGGGCUGCGGAGAGGUAGAGCGCUCUCACAACAUUUCUGACCGCUACAGCAGGAAUGCCAGGCUACAACUGGACGACACACCUACUGAUGUCCUUGCUAAUAAAUAACUGUCAAACCAGUGCCAUCCUAUGUCUUGUUCCUGGUUUCAAGUUCCUAUUGUUAAUGCCACUGUAGCAUUCGAGUGCCUGAUUUACAGUAUAGGGCCAACCUAAACCACACUAUGCUGGCUUGGAUAUUUUAUUUUCAUGUGGUCUUUUCUAGCAUGGUUCCAACAACUAUGGUGGAUGUAUAACCAGGCCAACUCAGUAAAGCUUGGACUGGCUCCUUUUUUUUGGGGGGGGGGGGGGGGGGGGGUUGGCAACAGUUAUUAAUGUGUUUUACUUAGUAAUUUGUUCUAUGCCAACCACUUACAUGUCAGUUUAACACUCUGAAUGCGUCCAUAUAUAGAUGGAUAAGGUAAUACUCAGAGUUGGUGAUGCAUCGCAAACAGGCACCAGUUGUAUAAUUCCUAUCAGUGGAGAUUGUUGAGGGGAGGUCGGCUCAUAAUAAUGGCUGAAACGGAGCAAAUUGAAUGGCAUCAAACGCAUGGAAACCAUGUGUUUGAUGUAGUUGAUACCAUUCCGCUCCAGCCAUUACCACGAGCCCGCCCUCCCCAAUUGCAAACUUGCAUAGCAAAAAUAUGUAACGGUGCAGUGACUUAAAUCAAAUGUAAAGAUGACAUUAAAUUAACACACAGAGAUCUUCUGUCUGGAGAUGGGAAUAAAAAGGCAGGAUGUGGACAAUUUUGUUAGGAAAGCAAAGCAACUCUAUCAUUUAUGUUGUAGGUUUCAGAUAAAUAUAUGUGAUUAAUGUACUUUUUGUAAAAAGAUCUAUGUAAAUAAAGUUUAAUUUGAUAAACUGCAGCGACUUCACUUG